rnacentral:tRNA from 1 species
GCCGGGAUGGCGAAAUGGCAAACGCUGCGGUCUUAAAAACCGCUGGGGUUACCCCCUUACGGGUUCGAGUCCCGUUCCCGGCACCA